rnacentral:rRNA from 1 species
UACGGAGGGUGCAAGCGUUAUCCGGAUUCACUGGGUUUAAAGGGCGCGUAGGCGGCCAUAUAAGUCGGGGGUGAAAGCCUGUGGCUCAACCACAGAAUUGCCUUCGAUACUGUAUGGCUCGAGACCGGAAGAGGUAAGUGGAACUGCGAGUGUAGAGGUGAAAUUCGUAGAUAUUCGCAAGAACACCAGUGGCGAAGGCGGCUUACUGGUCCGGUUCUGACGCUGAGGCGCGAAAGCGUGGGGAGCAAACAGG